rnacentral:tRNA from 1 species
GGCCCGUUGGUCAAGUGGUUAAGACACCGCCCUUUCACGGCGGUAACACGGGUUCGAAUCCCGUACGGGGUC